CGGCCCCUGGACAAGACUGACGCUCAGGUGCGAAGCGUGGGGAGCAAACAGGAUUAGAUACCUGGUAGUCACGCUGUAAACGAUGUCGAUUUGGAGGUUGUUCCCUUGAGGAGUGGCUUCCGGAGCUAACGCGUUAAAUCGACCGCCUGGGGAGUACGGCCGCAAGGUUAAAACUCAAAUGAAUUGACGGGGGCCCGCACAAGCGGUGGAGCAUGUGGUUUAAUUCGAUGCAACGCGAAGAACCUUACCUACUCUUGACAUCCAGAGAAUUUAGCAGAGAUGCUUUAGUGCCUUCGGGAACUCUGAGACAGGUGCUGCAUGGCUGUCGUCAGCUCGUGUUGUGAAAUGUUGGGUUAAGUCCCGCAACGAGCGCAACCCUUAUCCUUUGUUGCCAGCACGUUAUGGUGGGAACUCAAAGGAGACUGCCGGUGAUAAACCGGAGGAAGGUGGGGAUGACGUCAAGUCAUCAUGGCCCUUACGAGUAGGGCUACACACGUGCUACAAUGGCGUAUACAAAGAGAAGCGACCUCGCGAGAGCAAGCGGAACUCAUAAAGUACGUCGUAGUCCGGAUUGGAGUCUGCAACUCGACUCCAUGAAGUCGGAAUCGCUAGUAAUCGUAGAUCAGAAUGCUACGGUGAAUACGUUCCCGGGCCUUGUACACACCGCCCGUCACACCAUGGGAGUGGGUUGCAAAAGAAGUAGGUAGCUUAACCUUCGGGAGGGCGCUUACCACUUUGUGAUUCAUGACUGGGGUGAAGUCGUAACAAGGUAACCA
rnacentral:rRNA from 1 species